rnacentral:misc_RNA from 1 species
GAUGAAGAACGUAGCGAAAUGCGAUAAGUAGUGUGAAUUGCAGAAUUCAGUGAAUCAUCGAAUCUUUGAACGCACAUUGCGCCCCUUGGUAUCCCGAGGGGCAUGCCUGUUCGAGCGUCAUUUCACCACUCAAGCCUGGCUUGGUGUUGGGCGACGUCCCUUUUGGGGACGCGCCUCGAAACGCUCGGCGGCGUGGCACCGGCUUUAAGCGUAGCAGAAUCUUUCGCUUUGGAAGUCGGGGCCCCGUCUGCCGGAAGACCUACUCGCAAGGUUGACUUCGGAUCAGGCAGGGAUACCCGCUGAACUUAAGCAUAUCAAUAAGCGGAGGA